GAUGAACGCUGGCGGCGUGCCUAAUACAUGCAAGUCGAGCGAACAGAUGAGGAGCUUGCUCCUCUGACGUUAGCGGCGGACGGGUGAGUAACACGUGGAUAACCUACCUAUAAGACUGGGAUAACUUCGGGAAACCGGAGCUAAUACCGGAUAAUAUAUUGAACCGCAUGGUUCAAUAGUGAAAGACGGUUUUGCUGUCACUUAUAGAUGGAUCCGCGCCGCAUUAGCUAGUUGGUAAGGUAACGGCUUACCAAGGCAACGAUGCGUAGCCGACCUGAGAGGGUGAUCGGCCACACUGGAACUGAGACACGGUCCAGACUCCUACGGGAGGCAGCAGUAGGGAAUCUUCCGCAGUGGGCGAAAGCCUGACGGAGCAACGCCGCGUGAGUGAUGAAGGUCUUCGGAUCGUAAAACUCUGUUAUUAGGGAAGAACAAAUGUGUAAGUAACUAUGCACGUCUUGGCGGUACCUAAUCAGAAAGCCACGGCUAACUACGUG
rnacentral:rRNA from 1 species